rnacentral:rRNA from 1 species
GACGAACGCUGGCGGCGUGCUUAACACAUGCAAGUCGAGCGGUAAGGCCCUUCGGGGUACACGAGCGGCGAACGGGUGAGUAACACGUGGGUGACCUGCCCUCCACUUCGGGACAAGCCUGGGAAACCGGGUCUAAUACCGGAUAUGACUUCCUCAUGCAUGUGGGGUGGUUGAAAGUUUUGUCGGUGGGGGAUGGGCCCGCGGUCUAUCAGCUUGUUGGUGGGGUGAUGGCCUACCAAGGCGACGACGGAUAGCCGGCCUGAGAGGGUGAUCGGCCACACUGGGACUGAGACACGGCCCAGACUCCUACGGGAGGCAGCAGUGGGGAAUCUUGCGCAAUGGGCGGAAGCCUGACGCAGCAACGCCGCGUGGGGAUGACGGCCU